rnacentral:rRNA from 1 species
UAGGGAAUAUUGGACAAUGGGUGAGAGCCUGAUCCAGCCAUGCCGCGUGCAGGAAGAAGGCGUUAUGCGUUGUAAACUGCUUUUUGCCAGGGGAUAAAAAGACCGUGCGCGGUUAAUUGAAGGUACCUGGUGAAUAAGCCACGGCUAACUACGUGCCAGCAGCCGCGGUAAUACGUAGGUGGCAAGCGUUGUCCGGAUUUAUUGGGUUUAAAGGGUGCGUAGGUGGCCCUGUAAGUCAGUGGUGAAAUAUCUCAGCUUAACUGAGAGGGUGCCAUUGAUAUUGCAGGGCUUGAGUACAGAUGAGGUAGGCGGAAUUGACGGUGUAGCGGUGAAAUGCAUAGAUAUCGUCAAGAACACCGAUAGCGAAGGCAGCUUACCAAGCUGUAACUGACACUGAGGCACGAAAGUGUGGGGAUCAAACAGGAUUAGAUACCCCCGUAGUCCCUGAGCGGGCUGGCAAGGCGCAU